rnacentral:sRNA from 1 species
AAAAACCAACUAAAGAUCGGCAUACUAAAGUCGAUGGUCGUGGACGGCGAAUUCGUA